GAUGAACGCUGGCGGCGUGCCUAAUACAUGCAAGUCGAGCGAACAGACGAGGAGCUUGCUCCUCUGACGUUAGCGGCGGACGGGUGAGUAACACGUGGAUAACCUACCUAUAAGACUGGGAUAACUUCGGGAAACCGGAGCUAAUACCGGAUAAUAUAUUGAACCGCAUGGUUCAAUAGUGAAAGACGGUUUUGCUGUCACUUAUAGAUGGAUCCGCGCCGCAUUAGCUAGUUGGUAAGGUAACGGCUUACCAAGGCGACGAUGCGUAGCCGACCUGAGAGGGUGAUCGGCCACACUGGAACUGAGACACGGUCCAGACUCCUACGGGAGGCAGCAGUAGGGAAUCUUCCGCAAAGGGCGAAAGCCUGACGGAGCAACGCCGCGUGAGUGAUGAAGGUCUUCGGAUCUUAAAACUCUGUUAUUAGGGAAGAACAAAUGUGUAAGUAACUAUGCACGUCUUGACGGUACCUAAUCAGAAAGCCACGGCUAACUACGUG
rnacentral:rRNA from 1 species